GUCAGCGUGGUGUAGUGGUUUGAGCAUUUCAUUACCACUUUGGAGACUAGGGUUCAAAUUCCUGCUCAGCCA